rnacentral:lncRNA from 1 species
CACCUGCAAUAACUAAAAUGAUAAAAUUCCAGAACAUCUUGCUGCUUUUCACCCACUCACAUUGCCAGGGCAACAAUGGUUCGCAAGGGCAGUAACUAGGAGAGAAGGAAAGCUGAUGCUGCUGCAUCCUUCUAUUCCGAUAACAACCGUCGAUCAAUUGAAUAGAAACCCUAUGUUCCUGGCCGUUGCUUAUAGUAGUAACAGCCAUAUUUUAAUCAUCUAUAGAUCUCCAAAAGCAGUAUGAAUAACAUUUUGGUACUGCUGCAGCCUGAACCUGCCCCAUAAUGAGAUAAUCAUAAAAGUUACGUGCAGUCAACCUCGCUUCCAGGACAGAAAGUUGCAAAAACUAGUGCAAUUACCAAGAACAUUUUCUGAAAUCCAACAUUCUCUGCUAGUUCCUUGCCUUCUCUCCUAAGUGUGCCCGAACAUAGUAAGGGGCUGUGCAAGGAGACACCCAAAUUCAUCGACCGUAACUUAUAUCCAGCAGGUGUCACUGAAGAAUGGAGCAACAAAAUACUGCCAAUCCUUUGAUAUGCACUUUAACAGAGCAAAGAUCUACAAGAAAGCGAAAUGAGUAUCCAUGAUGCUAAGAUAUCCUCAGGAAAAGGCAGAGUUAUGCUGCUGGAGCCUUCAAACUUCCAGCCCUCACC